rnacentral:rRNA from 1 species
GGGUUGUGAGGUUAAGCGACUAAGCGUACACGGUGGAUGCCCUGGCAGUCAGAGGCGAUGAAGGACGUGCUAAUCUGCGAUAAGCGUCGGUGAGGUGAUAUGAACCGUUAUAACCGGCGAUUUCCGAAUGGGGAAACCCAGUGUGUUUCGACACACUAUCAUUAACUGAAUCCAUAGGUUAAUGAGGCGAACCGGGGGAACUGAAACAUCUAAGUACCCCGAGGAAAAGAAAUCAACCGAGAUUCCCCCAGUAGCGGCGAGCGAACGGGGAGGAGCCCAGAGCCUGAAUCAGUGUGUGUGUUAGUGGAAGCGUCUGGAAAGGCGUGCGAUACAGGGUGACAGCCCCGUACACAAAAAUGCACAUAUUGUGAGCUCGAUGAGUAGGGCGGGACACGUGGUAUCCUGUCUGAAUAUGGGGGGACCAUCCUCCAAGGCUAAAUACUCCUGACUGACCGAUAGUGAACCAGUACCGUGAGGGAAAGGCGAAAAGAACCCCGGCGAGGGGAGUGAAAAAGAACCUGAAACCGUGUACGUACAAGCAGUGGGAGCCUCUUAAUGGGGUGACUGCGUACCUUUUGUAUAAUGGGUCAGCGACUUAUAUUCUGUAGCAAGGUUAACCGAAUAGGGGAGCCGAAGGGAAACCGAGUCUUAACUGGGCGUUAAGUUGCAGGGUAUAGACCCGAAACCCGGUGAUCUAGCCAUGGGCAGGUUGAAGGUUGGGUAACACUAACUGGAGGACCGAACCGACUAAUGUUGAAAAAUUAGCGGAUGACUUGUGGCUGGGGGUGAAAGGCCAAUCAAACCGGGAGAUAGCUGGUUCUCCCCGAAAGCUAUUUAGGUAGCGCCUCGUGAAUUCAUCUCCGGGGGUAGAGCACUGUUUCGGCAAGGGGGUCAUCCCGACUUACCAACCCGAUGCAAACUGCGAAUACCGGAGAAUGUUAUCACGGGAGACACACGGCGGGUGCUAACGUCCGUCGUGAAGAGGGAAACAACCCAGACCGCCAGCUAAGGUCCCAAAGUCAUGGUUAAGUGGGAAACGAUGUGGGAAGGCCCAGACAGCCAGGAUGUUGGCUUAGAAGCAGCCAUCAUUUAAAGAAAGCGUAAUAGCUCACUGGUCGAGUCGGCCUGCGCGGAAGAUGUAACGGGGCUAAACCAUGCACCGAAGCUGCGGCAGCGACACUAUGUGUUGUUGGGUAGGGGAGCGUUCUGUAAGCCUGUGAAGGUGGCCUGUGAGGGUUGCUGGAGGUAUCAGAAGUGCGAAUGCUGACAUAAGUAACGAUAAAGCGGGUGAAAAGCCCGCUCGCCGGAAGACCAAGGGUUCCUGUCCAACGUUAAUCAGGGCAGGGUGAGUCGACCCCUAAGGCGAGGCCGAAAGGCGUAGUCGAUGGGAAACAGGUUAAUAUUCCUGUACUUGGUGUUACUGCGAAGGGGGGACGGAGAAGGCUAUGUUGGCCGGGCGACGGUUGUCCCGGUUUAAGCGUGUAGGCUGGUUUUCCAGGCAAAUCCGGAAAACCAAGGCUGAGGCGUGAUGACGAGGCACUACGGUGCUGAAGCGACAAAUGCCCUGCUUCCAGGAAAAGCCUCUAAGCAUCAGGUAACAUCAAAUCGUACCCCAAACCGACACAGGUGGUCAGGUAGAGAAUACCAAGGCGCUUGAGAGAACUCGGGUGAAGGAACUAGGCAAAAUGGUGCCGUAACUUCGGGAGAAGGCACGCUGAUAUGUAGGUGAAGCGACUUGCUCGUGGAGCUGAAAUCAGUCGAAGAUACCAGCUGGCUGCAACUGUUUAUUAAAAACACAGCACUGUGCAAACACGAAAGUGGACGUAUACGGUGUGACGCCUGCCCGGUGCCGGAAGGUUAAUUGAUGGGGUUAGCGGUAACGCGAAGCUCUUGAUCGAAGCCCCGGUAAACGGCGGCCGUAACUAUAACGGUCCUAAGGUAGCGAAAUUCCUUGUCGGGUAAGUUCCGACCUGCACGAAUGGCGUAAUGAUGGCCAGGCUGUCUCCACCCGAGACUCAGUGAAAUUGAACUCGCUGUGAAGAUGCAGUGUACCCGCGGCAAGACGGAAAGACCCCGUGAACCUUUACUAUAGCUUGACACUGAACAUUGAGCCUUGAUGUGUAGGAUAGGUGGGAGGCUUUGAAGUGUGGACGCCAGUCUGCAUGGAGCCGACCUUGAAAUACCACCCUUUAAUGUUUGAUGUUCUAACGUUGGCCCGUAAUCCGGGUUGCGGACAGUGUCUGGUGGGUAGUUUGACUGGGGCGGUCUCCUCCUAAAGAGUAACGGAGGAGCACGAAGGUUGGCUAAUCCUGGUCGGACAUCAGGAGGUUAGUGCAAUGGCAUAAGCCAGCUUGACUGCGAGCGUGACGGCGCGAGCAGGUGCGAAAGCAGGUCAUAGUGAUCCGGUGGUUCUGAAUGGAAGGGCCAUCGCUCAACGGAUAAAAGGUACUCCGGGGAUAACAGGCUGAUACCGCCCAAGAGUUCAUAUCGACGGCGGUGUUUGGCACCUCGAUGUCGGCUCAUCACAUCCUGGGGCUGAAGUAGGUCCCAAGGGUAUGGCUGUUCGCCAUUUAAAGUGGUACGCGAGCUGGGUUUAGAACGUCGUGAGACAGUUCGGUCCCUAUCUGCCGUGGGCGCUGGAGAACUGAGGGGGGCUGCUCCUAGUACGAGAGGACCGGAGUGGACGCAUCACUGGUGUUCGGGUUGUCAUGCCAAUGGCACUGCCCGGUAGCUAAAUGCGGAAGAGAUAAGUGCUGAAAGCAUCUAAGCACGAAACUUGCCCCGAGAUGAGUUCUCCCUGACUCCUUGAGGGUCCUGAAGGAACGUUGAAGACGACGACGUUGAUAGGCCGGGUGUGUAAGCGCAGCGAUGCGUUGAGCUAACCGGUACUAAUGAACCGUGAGGCUUAACCUUACAACGCCGAAG